rnacentral:rRNA from 1 species
AUUGAACGCUGGCGGCAGGCCUAACACAUGCAGGUCGAGCGGAUGAAGGGAGCUUGCUCCUGGAUUCAGCGGCGGACGGGUGAGUAAUGCCUAGGAAUCUGCCUGGUAGUGGGGGAUAACGUCCGGAAACGGGCGCUAAUACCGCAUACGUCCUGAGGGAGAAAGUGGGGGAUCUUCGGACCUCACGCUAUCAGAUGAGCCUAGGUCGGAUUAGCUAGUUGGUGGGGUAAAGGCCUACCAAGGCGACGAUCCGUAACUGGUCUGAGAGGAUGAUCAGUCACACUGGAACUGAGACACGGUCCAGACUCCUACGGGAAGCAGCAGUGGGGAAUAUUGGACAAUGGGCGAAAGCCUGAUCCAGCCAUGCCGCGUGUGUGAAGAAGGUCUUCGGAUUGUAAAGCACUUUAAGUUGGGAGGAAGGGCAGUAAGUUAAUACCUUGCUGUUUUGACGUUACCAACAGAAUAAGCACCGGCUAACUUCGUG